CAGCCUUUUCCCUCUUCUCCACUAUUUUCCUUGAUUCCCUUUUCUCUGAACCAGAAAACUAGAUUCCUCUUCCGGAGUCUCUCCCAGUGUGGAACCCCCGCCACCACCAGGCGCCACAGCUGCGUCAAAGGUUUGCGUGUUGAACUUCACAUCAACGGCAUCUCCCUAUAACCUAGGAGCUUGGUUCGGAUCGGGCGAUUCCGGAGGCCCUGCCAUCGAGGUAUGUAAAAGCUGCCAAUUGGAUUUGUUCCCCAGAUGAUAAUGGCAUACUAAUAUAAUGGUUGUUCUUUUGCUUUGAUGUACAAAUCUACAAAGGACGAUGAAAGCUUUUCGUCACUGAUCUUUGGAGAAACAGAGGGAUGCAUAUAAAAGAUAGCUCCACAAUUGGCUAGCGUGAAUCUUGGUAUCUUCAUAUGCAUGCAAUGUUCAGGGAUCCACAGGAGUCUUGGGGUGAGAUCUGUCACUUUGGAUACAUGGCUCCCAGAGCAGGUUGCAUAUAUCCAAUGAGGAGAAGCAGAGGGCAUUACUGCAAAUGCAGUGGAGAGUUUUGGUAAUAAGCCACAAGUGGACCAAGAAGUGAAUUCAAAGAAGGUUGGCUUUAUAAUAGAUUACUCUCUUUCUCUCUCUCUCUCUCUCUCUCUCUCUCUCUCUCUCUCUCAUAUCCACAAACACAGAUUAAAUUACUAUAAGUUGUUUAGUUGCAGUUGAUUGGAUGUAUUGGUUAAUCUUAAUUUUAGUCCACAUAAAUUACUAUGGCUGUGGAAAUUGAACUAAAAAGUACGUUUCUUUUUUAAAAUUGAUUUUUUUUCCUACCAGGAAAUAGGUGGUUACAAAUUAUUUACUCCACUAAUAAAGAAUUUGUUAAAUUAAUAUAAGCUUUUUAAAUGUUUAAUUUCCAUUUGAAAACUUGGGGAGUUCUAGGUAUGUUGUUUAUUGAAGAAGCUCAAUCUCAAAUCCCUCAAAUGGUCUCUCAGUUGCCACUUUGUUUUCCUAGGUUGUGGAACUUGAUUUUCUCUAUCCGUGUGAAUUUGUGCCAUAGGUUAUGUUAUCUGCUAAGUGUGUAAUUUGGAAAUGCUUAUUUGAUGAAUGCACUGGUAUAAUUGAUCAGUAAAUUACUAUGAUCGGUGUGGUUCUGUGGAAGUGAUUCAUGAAGGUUCUGGAUUACAGUUUUUGGGGUUAGAUUUCUGAAUCUAUGGGAUUUCCUUAUCAAUUAUCGUUUCAAAGGGUGAAAAACAGUGAGGGACGACACGGGAAGAGGGGAGAAAGAGGACAAAAUAAUGGUUUCUGCUACUUUCAAUGCUUUGGGUUAAAAAAAGAAAAAGAGCAUGUGGUGUGGAAGCACACCAGUGAGGCCUUACUUUCGAUGUCAAACUCAAAUGUGGCCAUAAUCUAACCCCUGAAAUUCCAGCAUAGCAUGUAGGAAUGCUAACGUUUUCCUGUGUGAUCUUCAUACAAAGAGUUGGCUUCAUUUCAUUCCGGUGACUCUCUAAAACAGGUCCAAGAACUCACUAAAUAGGUAAUUGUCUUAUAUCUUCUUCUCUCUUUGUGUUUAUAUUUAUUUUUCCUGAGUUGUGUUCGAAUAUGACAAACAAGAACUACAAAAGGCAGCUAAGAAUAUCCAGCAAUCCAUUACCAGUUGAACAAUUAAUUGGCCAUAUAUCUUGGAUUUGCAGCGUUUUCGUUUCGGAAAUAUGGGAGACUUUAUGCAUCAUGUAUAUCUGCAAUGUAUAUCCCUUAUAUAUUUAUUGUACAAAAUAUUAGUUCACUUGCACUUUAAUUCUAUUCAUGGUUGUGGUUUUCAGGUAAAUGGUUUAUAUUGAAGUCUAUUUAUACUGCAAUUUAAUUCUAUUCAAUAACACUUCUAGUUAUUUCUGCUCAAAUUUUGGUAUCUAGAAACGCUUUUAGCCUUACCAAAGCCUUUCCAGACACACUCCUUAAGUUGAUCAAUCAUUUGUUUUGUUCAAUAUGGCAUGUUGCUCUUUAAUAUUUAUGUGUAUUUGUUAAAAAUUGAAUCAAUUGAUUAGGAUGAGAACUUCAGUUUUGGGUUUUGUUCCACAAGGACCCUGGUUGGUCAUUUAUGUGUGAAUUUUGCAAUGAAAUUAAGGAGAGGAUUAAGAAGACCAAGUAAAGAAGAGGCGUGGUUUUGCAAUCUAUGACUGCAGCUGUGACAAAGCUUUUCAUAGUGGUCAGGAUGGUAAAGGUUUCAAAGAGUCUAAUGUUAUUCACAUGUAUAUUCUUUUUCAUGUGCAUAAGCAAAUGUACGGGCAUAGGCAUGGUGUGUACGUUUUUCUUUUUUGAUUUACUUUUAUUUUUAUUGAGAUCUGGUCAGUGUUAAAUUGAAAUUGAUAUUUUAGACUUUACUCCUUAUGUGGUUUUCGGAACCCAACAUGUGAAGGGUUAAUUCUAUUUUUAGGUUGAAGGAAAAUACAGUGUAUAAUUUGGGAAGUGCUUUCAAUUCUACUCUCAUCUCUAAUAUGAAUAUAGAUUACAACCCUGGCCCUGAGUAAUCCAAAAGCUAAAAUGACACCCUCUUAAUCUGAACUUCAUUGUAGACGUACUCUCUUUCCCUCUUAAUUGCUUCUUAGGGCUUCUUUGUUUUGAUUUUCAUCAUCCAUUUGUUAAAUUUAUUAUUAAUUUCAGGGUACUACUAGUUUUCCUGCUAUCUCUGAUUCCACACUUCAGAAUGGUAUGCCUCUAAUUUAUGAUAAAUUUUGCCAAUUUGCUUCUCUUGAUUUGGAAAGGUACGACUCUAAUUGCCUUUGUUUUCCAAAGCCAUCUUAGCAUCUGCAUCCCCAAGUGUAGAACAAAAGCUAAUCCAAUUGCUAAUCUUAGCAUCUGUAUCACCAGUUCACCAUUAUCUUUUGAUUUUGAGUACCUUUAUCGAAUAGAGGGUAACUACACAGUUUUAUAUCUUCGAUAUACAAAUAUCAGCACUGUUUGCUUUUGUUUACUAAAUACAUGCAUAAUCUGUGGUUCGUUUGAACUUUGAUAUAUGUCAAACUUAUAAUCUCGCUUUAUCACUUUGUUCGCGUUGCUAUAAUCUGCCUUCCCCCGCCCUUUCGUCUGUAAAAUGUUUGAAUAUAGUCAUAUUAGGAGUCUUAAUAUGAUCAUUCUUCUAUUUCUUAGAUUCGAAAUGUUUUUAAUCUCAUUUAUUUGGUGUAGCUUUGGUCAUUUGUCUAAAAUUUAAUCAGAUUUGGUCCUUGAAUUUCUCUGAAUUGCUAAUGGAUUUAUUUUCUUUGGAAAUUUCAGAAAUUCUGGUCGUGAGAGGAAGAACCUGGUUCCUCCUAAUUAGUUAUGUACAUUUUUUUAUCUGCUCAACUCUUGGAUCAAUUAUUUGCCAGUAGGAAUGUUUAAUUGCUUGAUCAAUGAUGUCGAUUCAAUUGAAGAAGAAACAGGGCUAUUGUUCAAUAGGGAUUUGAAGUAGGGAUUGAGACUCACGUAUGAGUCAGAUGUUCCAAUUGUUCAUUGAUUCUUA